AAUAUCGGUCCGGCGUCAGUGGGUUAUCAGUUUGUGAACCUCGAAGAGGAAAGUUCCAUCGGCACUAACUCGACCGUUGA
rnacentral:sRNA from 1 species